rnacentral:lncRNA from 1 species
CCCUCUUAGUGCUCUUGAUCCUAACAAUUGGUAUCAGAGCCUCAUUUUUCAAAUUUGGUUUAACACCCAAAUUGAAAUGGCUCUUUUCGGCAACCAAGAGGAUCACUCUCUCUUUCAUCCUCCCUUUUUCAAUGGGACGGACUACACUUAUUGGAAAACUCGAAUGAGAGUUUUCUUGCUUUCGUUGGAUUUGAAUUUAUGGCACAUUAUCGAAU